rnacentral:rRNA from 1 species
UACGGAGGGUGCGAGCGUUGUCCGGAAUCACUGGGCGUAAAGGGCGCGUAGGUGGCCUGUGGAAGUCUGCGGUGAAAGCCCGGCGCUCAACGCCGGGUCGGCCGUGGAUACUCUCGGGCUCGAGCUUACUAGAGGCAGAUGGAAUUCCGGGUGUAGCGGUGGAAUGCGUAGAGAUCCGGAAGAACACCGAUGGCGAAGGCACUUUACUGGGCUAUUACUAACACUCAGAGACGAAAGCUAGGGUAGCAAAUGGG